AACGAACGCUGGCGGCAGGCCUAACACAUGCAAGUCGAGCGAGGACUUCGGUUCUAGCGGCGGACGUGUGAGUAACGCGUGGGAAUGUGCCCUUCUCUACGGAAUAGCCCUGGGAAACUUGGAUUAAUACCGUAUACGCCCUAUUGGGGAAAGAUUUAUCGGAGAAGGAUCAGCCCGCGUUGGAUUAGGUAGUUGGUGGGGUAAUGGCCUACCAAGCCGACGAUCCAUAGCUGGUGUGAGAGGAUGAUCAGCCACACUGGGACUGAGACACGGACCAGACUCGUACGGGAGGCAGCAGUGGGGAAUCUUAGACAAUGGGGGCAACCCUGAUCUAGCCAUGCCGCGUGAGUGAUGAAGGCCUUAGGGUUGUAAAGCUCUUUCAGCUGGGAAGAUAAUGACGGUACCAGCAGAAGAAGCACCGGCUAACUACGUG
rnacentral:rRNA from 1 species